rnacentral:RNase_P_RNA from 1 species
GAAGCGUCCCGCGCGGCCGCCCGCAGCUUCCCCCUCGGGGAAACACAGCGGGAGGAAAGUCCGAGCUCCACAGGGCAGGGUGCUCCGUAACGCGGAGUCCCGGUGACGGGCAGGAAAGUGCCACAGAAAACAAACCGCCCGCCCAUGGCGGGCAAGGGUGAAACGGUGAGGUAAGAGCUCACCAGUUCCCUGGGAGACCAGGGAAGCUAGGCAAACCCCACCCGGAGCAAGACCAAAUAGGAGGGGCUCCCCGCCCGGUGCGGGGAGAAAAUGGGUGGCCCGCCCAGCCCUCGGGUACGGUCGCUGGAGGGCCCGGGCAACCGGGCCCCUAGAGGAAUGGCCGCGGCCUGCGGCAGGGGGACCUGCCACAGGAACAGAACUCGGCUUACAGGGACGCUUCGGCC